CCCGGCGAGGAAAACUACAACUCCCAUGAGGACACGGGCGAGAUUGAGGCCGGGCUCCGCCUCCUUCUCCCUGGCGCUCGGUGGACUGCGUCUCAGUGCCACGUGGCGCGGGAGCCUAGCUGAUCGCGUGCAUGACGAGGGCCAGCGUGGCUGGCUGCUUGGCCCACAGACCUGGGCAGCGGGAAACGCCUACUUGAGAGCGCAUGGCUUCAAGCUUCUCCCUUGCGCUUAUGAUCUUAGGCUGAUCGCUUUUUCUUUUAGGCUGAACACAGUUCACCCUGGGCGCCUCCAACUCUCUGGAAUUCUAGGCAACAGAUUAACACUUUGUGAAUCUCGAAGAGCUGCACUCCUGCUAAAUAUUGGAGUUAAUGCUGAUCCUUUGGAAGUCUCUGAAGGUUGCAAGAUUGUGCUGCGAGCCUCUGGCUUCAUUUGCCCUUCUCACACCUUAUUUUAAUACAAGGGUCUUGCUCUGUCACCCAGGCUGGAGUGCAGUGGUGUAAUCACAGCUCACUGAAACCUACCUCCCAAAUGAUGCUCCCGCAUCAACCUCCCAAGUAGCUGGGACUAAAGGCACACACCACCAUGGUCGAGCACACUGAACUACCUGGAGUAAAGGGGCAUCAUGUCUGAAACUGAUGCUUAAGUGGCUCAGAAAAAAAAUUCUGGGAGCUAGAGGGAGAGAGAGACAGUGGAGUGUGGUAAAAAGUUAUCGUUAUGGAGGUCUGGGUAAAAGGUAUAUGAGGAUUCUUUGUACUUAUUUUGCAACUUUUCUCCCAGUCUGAAAUUAUGUCAAAAUAUAAAAUUAAAAGGCAAAAUUAAAAGAAUGAGUGAGAGUUUACUAGGUAGAGAAGCAGAAGGAUCUUCUGGUAAAGGAACAGGAUAAGCAAAAGCAUCACAAGUGUGCGAGUCUUCUGUGUUGACAAACAAUCCCUGACUCUGAAUAUCCAGGACUAGCAUGGUGUGGGGAGACGGGAAUUAGAGGGAUGAUGAGCAGCAUAACCCACAAAUGGACACAUUUCCCUGCUACCUAAGAUUAGAAGUAAAGACUUUAGGCCUACAUUAUACCCAGCCUCAAGAGUUGCAAGACAUAACACAUGAGUUCUCAUAGCGGCUCAGUCUUUGCAUUGGCAGUGUCUCUUCAUCCAGUGACUGUGGAACAAUGGAAACCCUAGAAUCAUGGCUGAAAGGGACAUCUAGUCCAACUCUCUCAUUUUGCAGAAGGGACAACUAAGAUGCAAAAUGAAGAAGAGAUUUGCAAGGUCCCAGCAAAGGUUAGUGUUAAAACUGGCCUCUAGUUCCCAGUCCAUCAUUCUUUCUAUUGCACCAAAGUCAAAAUGAUAAGGGAGAAGAAAUGGAAGACUAGCAAGGGAAAUGACUGAAUGUUAAAGUUUGGACUUUUUUAUUUGCCAAAAGUACAAACUUAGUGUCUAUACAAUGUUAAAAGUAAACAAUAUAGAUACCAAUGUUGUUGUAGAAACUGUCAUCACUGAAGCCAAUAGCUUCCAACUGGUAAGUGAUAUUCAAUUCAGACUCCUAGGUCUGAAGCAGCAAUCAAGGUGAUUCUCAGGAAUUCUCAAUGACAUUGGUACCCAUCUGGAUUUGUUGAAAAGUUUAACAUCCUUUUGUAUUAUUCAUGAUUUUGCAGUUCUUCAAAUUGCAAGGUGAUGGAGAGGGCACACAAUUUUCAACCAGGCUAUGAAAUCGUUCUUGAAAAUGUGGACAUUCAUAUAGAUGGCUUUUAAUUUUUCUUGGAGACUGCCUUUCCUUAUGAAAUCAUGAAAUUUAAAAAUAUGUAUUAUAAAUUAAACUAUAUACAUACUAUUCUCAUUAUAAUACAAUCCUAGGGAUAAGGAACUAGUAUUUCAAGGGCGCCAUUCCCCUUUUUUAGUAUUAUUCCUAGUUGGAAUUUUAUUCCUCAAGGCUUAGCUCUAAGUGACUAUAUAAUGAAUACUGACUAGCAAAACUAUUGGGAUUCUAAUUUAAGAAUCAUCAGAUUCUGUACAAGAAAUCUUGAAGCAUGUCAUCAGUAACAUGUUGAGAAGCUGCCUAAAAAGUCAUGCCUUUCUUUUAAAUGUCCAUGAGCCCUGGAUCCACAGAUUAUGAGAUGUGAAGGAUCACGCAUGCUCAAACAGGGCUUAUUUAGGUGUCAUCUAUAGAGGGGCUGCUCUCUUCAGCGGCCCAUCCCGGACCCCGGAAUUAUGUGUACAGUUUUCAAUUUCCACAUGUCUUUGCGGCAAUGCUACCAUGAAUUAUUUUACUCAGGACUUUAGAUUAACCACAAAAGAAACUAAUUGAAAAUAACUAAGAUCAUUCUGUCAUGUGAGCCACAGUUUACUACAGUCAACUUAAGCACAAUUAUAUAUGCUAAACUAUAGAUGUGAUGCUUUGUGUUUCAACCAUUAUUAUCCAUUGUUUCUUACUCAACUGGUAAAACCAUUAGCAAUAUGUGGCUUUAAAAGGACUGUCUCUGUGAUAUCCUCUUCCUCUGCCUCCCUUCAGGAUCUGAUAUUCUUCUGUGGUUGACUGACGAGUCUGCAUAUGGGUGCUGUAUCAGACCUAUUAAUUGCAGAAGGUUCUGUCUCCCUAUCCCCAAUACCUCAAACUUCCUACUUUCUGUACAGUCUUCAACACUCUAUCUGCAUGGCUCUAGUAAUCCCUGUUCUUGCUUGCUAUGGACAGAUCUGUUAAAAUCCUAGAACUGCCACACAGUUUCUUCAGAAUGUUUGAUGUCUCUCUCCAGAGAAUGGCUUUUUUCUCAUUGUGCUAUGCCGUUGCUCUCAGAACUUACCCCCUGGAACCUUCUCUUUUCUGUGCCUAUGCUCAGCUGUGGGGGAAUAAUAAGAGAGGUUUUAUUCCUAUUUAUUCCUAUUUAUUAUCAUGUAUGAUAGGAAUAAUAAGAAAGAAUAGUGAGAAUAAUGAUAGGAAUAAUGAGAAUCGCUUGAACCUGGGAGGUAGAGGUUGCAGUGAGCCAAGAUCACACCACUGUACUCCAGCCUGGGUGACAGAGUGAGACUCUGUCUCCAAAAAAAAAAAAGAAAAGAAAAGAAAUCAUACAUAUGUAACCUUCUAUGUCUGGCUACUUUCACAUAACACAAAAAUUUUUGAGGUUCAUCCAUUGUGGCACAUAUCAGUAUUUCAUUCUUUGUUGUUGUUGUUGUUUUUUUUUUUGUAACAGUAUCUGUUGCUGAGGCUGGAGUGUAGUGAUCAAAUCAUGGCUCACUGCAGCCUCGAACUCCCAGAUUCAAUCAAUCCUCCCACCUUAGCCUCCCAGGUACCUGGAAUUAUAGACAUGCCACCAUGUCCAGCUAAUUUUUGUACUUUUUGUAGAGAUAGGGUUUUGCCAUGCUUCCCAAGCUGGUCUCAAACUCUUGGGCUCAAGCAAUCUGCCUAACUCAGCCUCCCAAACUGGUGGGAUUACAGGCGUGAGCUACUUCAGUCAGCCAUUUCAUUCUUUUUAAUGACUGAAUAAUAUUCCAUUAUAUGUAUAUACCACAAUUUGUUUAUCCAUUCAUCUACUGACAGGCAUUUGGACUGUUUCCACCUUUGGGCUGUUAUGAGUAACGCUACUACAAACAUUCACAGACAAGUUUCUAUGUGAACAAAUGUUUUUGUUUCUAUUAAUAAUACCUAGAAUUAUUGGGUCAUUAUGGUAAUCCAAUGUUUUACUUUUUGAGGAACCACCAAGCUGUUUUCCACAGUAGCUACAUGAUUUUACAUUCCAAACUGUAAUGUACCAGGAUUCCUAUUUCUUCACAUACUUACCAACACUUGUUAUUUUCAAUUUUUUAAGCUAUAGUAAUCCUAGUGGGUGUGAAAUGGCAUUUCAUUGUGAUUUUGACUUAAAUUUCUUUAAUGACCAAUAAAGUUGAACAUUUUAAUGUGAA